rnacentral:piRNA from 1 species
UGACGAAACCAGACACCAAGGAGCCCUAGU